rnacentral:rRNA from 1 species
GAACGAGAAUCUGCGGAUCGAGGAUUCGUCCAAGUGAAGCAGAGGACAGUGGCGGACGGGUGAGUAACGCGUGAGGAACCUGCCUUUCAGAGGGGGACAACAGUUGGAAACGACUGCUAAUACCGCAUGAUACGUUUUAGGGGCAUCCCUGAGACGUCAAAGAUUUAUCGCUGAAAGAUGGCCUCGCGUCUGAUUAGCUGGUUGGUGAGGUAACGGCCCACCAAGGCGACGAUCAGUAGCCGGACUGAGAGGUUGACCGGCCACAUUGGGACUGAGAUACGGCCCAGACUCCUACGGGAGGCAGCAGUGGGGAAUAUUGGGCAAUGGGCGCAAGCCUGACCCAGCAACGCCGCGUGAAGGAAGAAGGCUUUCGGGUUGUAAACUUCUUUUAAGAGGGAAGAGCAGAAGACUGUACCUCUAGAAUAAGCCACGGCUAACUACGUGCCAGCAGC